rnacentral:rRNA from 1 species
AUUGAACGCUGGCGGAAUGCUUUACACAUGCAAGUCGAGCGGCAGCACGGGGGCAACCCUGGUGGCGAGCGGCGAACGGGUGAGUAAUACAUCGGAACAUGCCCAGUCGUGGGGGAUAACACUUCGAAAGAAGUGCUAAUACCGCAUACGUCCUGAGGGAGAAAGCGGGGGAUCUUCGGACCUCGCGCGAUUGGAGUGGCCGAUGUCAGAUUAGCUAGUUGGUGGGGUAAAGGCCUACCAAGGCAACGAUCUGUAGCUGGUCUGAGAGGAUGAUGAGCCACACUGGGACUGAGAAACGGCCCAGACUCCUACGGGAGGCAGCAGUGGGGAAUUUUGGACAAUGGGGGCAACCCUGAUCCAGCCAUUCCGCGUGAGUGAAGAAGGCCUUCGGGUUGUAAAGCUCUUUCGGCAGGAACGAAACGGCGAGCUCUAACAUAGCUUGCUAAUGACGGUACCUGAAGAAGAAGCACCGGCUAACUACGUGCCAGCCGCCGCCGUAAUAC